UGGGAAGGAAAAAAAUCGUAACAAGGUUUCCGUAGGUGAACCUGCGGAAGGAUCAUUACCGAGUGAGGGCCCUCUGGGUCCAACCUCCCACCCGUGUUUAUCGUACCUUGUUGCUUCGGCGGGCCCGCCUCACGGCCGCCGGGGGGCAUCCGCCCCCGGGCCCGCGCCCGCCGAAGACACACAAACGAACUCUUGUCUGAAGAUUGCAGUCUGAGUACUUGACUAAAUCAGUUAAAACUUUCAACAACGGAUCUCUUGGUUCCGGCAUCGAUGAAGAACGCAGCGAAAUGCGAUAAGUAAUGUGAAUUGCAGAAUUCAGUGAAUCAUCGAGUCUUUGAACGCACAUUGCGCCCCCUGGUAUUCCGGGGGGCAUGCCUGUCCGAGCGUCAUUGCUGCCCUCAAGCACGGCUUGUGUGUUGGGCUCUCGCCCCCCGCUUCCGGGGGGCGGGCCCGAAAGGCAGCGGCGGCACCGCGUCCGGUCCUCGAGCGUAUGGGGCUUCGUCACCCGCUCUGUAGGCCCGGCCGGCGCCCGCCGGCGAACACCAUCAAUCUUAACCAGGUUGACCUCGGAUCAGGUAGGGAUACCCGCUGAACUUAAGCAUAUCAUA
rnacentral:rRNA from 1 species